rnacentral:rRNA from 1 species
UACGUAGGGUGCGAGCGUUAAUCGGAAUUACUGGGCGUAAAGCGUGCGCAGGCGGUUAUGCAAGACAGAUGUGAAAUCCCCGGGCUCAACCUGGGAACUGCAUUUGUGACUGCAAGGCUAGAGUACGGCAGAGGGGGAUGGAAUUCCGCGUGUAGCAGUGAAAUGCGUAGAUAUGCGGAGGAACACCAAUGGCGAAGGCAAUCCCCUGGGCCUGUACUGACGCUCAUGCACGAAAGCGUGGGGAGCAAACAGG